rnacentral:tRNA from 1 species
AUUUUCUUAGUAUAACUAGUACAGAUGACUUCCAAUCACCCAGCCCCAGUUUAACUCUGAGAGAAAAUA